ensembl:lncRNA novel transcript, antisense to RB1
AAAAAAGAAGUGCAUGGAAAAAUAAAUUGGGGUAUAUCCCUACAAUGGAAUGUUAUUUGAAAAUCAAAAGGAAAUGUCCUAAUAUAUAUAACAAUAUAGAUAAAUCUCAAAAUUAUUACACUGAGAAAAAGCCAGACUCAAAAGGAUGCAUUGAAUAAUUCCUUUCAUAUGAAAUUCUAGAAAAGGCAAAACCAAUCUUUAAAGUCAAAAAGUAGAUCUGUAGUUGCCUGCGGAACAGAGGGGAGGUGUUGGGAAAUGACUGCAAAGGGGAAUGAAAGAACUUUCUGGAGUGAUCAAAAAGUUCUAUAUCUUAAUGGUGGUGAUUAUAUGAGUGAAUAUGUCUGUUAAAACGUAUUGAACUGUGCACUUAAAAUUGGCAUAUUUUGUGUAUGUAAAUUAUACCUCAAUAAAUCUGAUUUUGAAACUAUGUUACAUACUUACUGUUUCUGAAAUUGAAGAUACAAAGUAUACACUGCUUCACUGUUUUCAAGACUAAUUAAAAAUAUAUAUUUUAAUAAAAUGAACAAAAAUCAA